rnacentral:lncRNA from 1 species
CCAAAGCGGACAAUACCUUCUGGGGGACACUCUCUCUUCUGCUGCUCGGCUGGUGUGUGGGCUCUGCUGGUGACGGGGUGUAAAUCCCGCAUCAGAUGGCGCUAGAAGGAGGGCCUCGGCCCUCCGCCUAUCCAGCAAGGAGCCGACCCGGGCACAGGACCUCCCCGCUGGGGGGGCUGUGUUACGGGGGGUUCCCCGAAUUUAN